AUGUUUAUAUCCCGUGUGUGGAGGUUGCAGAAAAGGGGGACCCAGCCAGAUGGGAGACACUCAGCUCCGAGGAACUUGGAAAGCGAAUGGCUUUAUUACGCUGGCAGACUGGGUCCAGCAAUGCAGCUCAGGCUGGCCUCGGCCUCACCAGGAACCCAGGAUGAUCUCCGGCUUGUGGUGAUUCUCCCACCUCGGCCUUCUGACCGCUGGAAUUACAGGGUUCCUGAGCCGCCUUGUAAGGCAGGCUCUGCCGCCCUUCGUGACAAGCCCAGUGGAGAGGGGUCCACCUGCAGAGGACCCGAAGCUGCACAGGACAGUUCAGCCCCGGCUAGACGCCAGCUGGACGCAGCAGCCCCAGGAGUGACCCUCACCGAGUCCCUGUAGGGGAAGAAGGCCCGCCCAGCUGGGACAAGCCAGCCCCUGGAUUUGUGAGAGAAAUGGGGGACCCUCUCACAUUCAGUGGUGCAAUUUGUUCAGAACCCGGGCCAAGAACUAAGGCAACGCCUUGAGUACAAGUUCUAAGGUGCACCAAGAACCUCAGUCAUUCAGAUAAAUAAUAUUUUAAUGAAAUAAUUUGAAAAUCAAAAUUAAGCCCCCCUCUUGUGAUGUUUUGCAGAAAAAAAGCGGUUUUGCAGAAAAAAAGCGGUUUUGCUUUGUUUUUGUUUGUUUGUUGAUACUGGGGCUUAAACUCAAGGCCUUCACAGGUACAUCUCCUGCCCUUUUCUUAAUACUUAAUUUUAAAGCAGGCUUUACUGGGUGGCUAAGUUACCCAUACUGGGCUUGAACUUGCCAUCUUCCCGCGUCAGCCUCCCAGCAAAAUUUAGAGUAAGGACCAGUGUCAUGCCAAGUGUGUGCCCUGGCCUCGAUGGAAGCAAACUUAGAGAUAGUGUUCUCCAAAUCUAUUCCUUAGCUUAAGACAAUACCCAUGCUAGGCAAUGUCUCCUGACCAAGUAAUGAUGUCAAACACUUAAUAAAUUUUAUUUUCACUUAACUAAAAUAUUUUAACAAAAUAAUGUGAGCUUAAUACAUCUACUUUACAAGUUUUCAGCA